rnacentral:rRNA from 1 species
UACAUGUGGGGCAAGCGUUGUUCGGAAUUACUGGGCAUAAAGGGUGCGUAGGUGGCUUGUUAAGUCAGGGGUGAAAGUUUUCGGCCCAACCGGAAAAUGGCCUUUGAUACUGGCGAGCUCGAGUGCGUGGGGGGUAACCGGAACGAGCAGUGUAGCGGUGAAAUGCGUAGAUAUUGCUCGGAAGGCCAACGGCGAAGGCAGCUCGCUGGGACGGUACUGACGCUGAGACGCGAAAGCGUGGGGAGCAAACAGG